rnacentral:lncRNA from 1 species
AUAACGGAGAUAAGUCAAUCUGUGUCCUUUAGAGAAUAAUGAGUUCCAUUUUUCAUCAAAAAGAUCUCCUUGUGCCGAAGAAACAUACUUUCAAUAAAUCUACUUAAUGGUUUCCCUCUAAUGAUAUAUAACAUUGCUCUUUGGAACCGAGCGUUGCAGCGGGUCCCUGCCAACAACUGCAGGCCACCCAUCAUCUGCAUUGGUAAUUCAACCCAAAGAAAACCCAGGCGGUUCCCAGGAAGUGCUGCUGUGCAGGAGAAAAUACCCGAAGGCCUUCCUGGACUCUGUGAGCAGGUAGAGAGGAUGGGAUUUGAAUAAAUAAGCUAUCACUAAGCUUGAGCUCCUAUGCAAAUUUCCAUUCCCUCGCCCCCACCACCAUUGCUGUAUUCAUGGAUAUAUCGGGUCUAAGGGUGACUUAUCUAAGGAUAAGCUGUGUCAGACAGCUCAAGAGUUAAAUCCUUCAGAUACGUGCGUCGUGAGAACUGAUUAGCUGGGUUUGUUCCCGGAGCUCAUUGCUCUCCUAUAGACCUGACAGCCUUGGUGUAGUUUGAUGUGGGCUGCCGGAGGGAGCCUGUGUUUAUUGCAUUGGGUAAACUGAAGAUCCACUUCAAUGAUCCUGCCUGAAGCAGUCCCUCGCCCCAUUUGAGGGUCUAAACCUCAGGUGGCGAAGGCCUAGCAGAAGGAAGGGCCUGCGCCCUUCAAAGGGAAUGAUUUAGGGCCAUCUGCGCCCUGGUGUCAGGCAGCAGGACUGGGUUUCCAUCCAGUUUACCUUUGUGAGCCCCAACUUUACAAAUGUGCUGCUUUUUUUCGCAAGGACUCAGCUUUAUGUAACAUAACCUAUUUCCUCCAAGGGCACCCAGCCCUCCCAAUACUGACGGACUUCCCCACAUGGGAAUCAUUAAAAACAACCCUAGAGUUAUUUCCUUAUGUUGCUGUUUGUUUAUUCUCCAGUCGCGUGUGAGUCAGCCAGAUCAUGAUUUGUGGUGGUUUUGCUUGUGAAAUCUUACAUAAUUAUAUUCCUAUUGUCAUGUUGGGUCGAGCAGUUAGACCAUGUAGUGUUUUCUCAUUGCACAAUGUUUGCAAAUCAAUAAGGAGAAAGCCUGAACAAUGCGAUGACGUUGGCCAGGAACCCGGCCCGAGUCACCCAGGAGGCGGCUCUGCAGUUUCUCAGGUACAGCCUAUCCAUUCUCUAAUCCCACUGCUGGGCAGUGACUAGGCCGGGUGGUGGCCUUUCGGAUGGGUUUCACGGAGGUGAUAUUUAAAAGAUGAGAGUGAGAGAACAAAAGAACAACAACAGCGCUUCACACAGAAACCAACCACAUUUUUACUGCAUCUGCUCCACGCUGGAUUCCAACAUGCUGGCCCGGAGCGUGGCUGGCUGGAAGCAACUCCAACAGGAGGACACAUUUGGACCUGACCUUCACCACUGGUCAUGUGAGAAAGCCUCUAUACCUGGUUCCUCAACGUCUCCGUUUAGAAGACUGCAUCAGCAAAACCAUCCUACCAUGGGAAUUAACUGAUGGAUGUGUCUGGACUUCCCAGGGGGUUCUCCAUGGACAGUAUUGUGCUGUUAAAGACGAGGAGACGGAGACCUAGAGGAAGUCAUUUGUACAAGGCCAUAUGGCUUGCUCCUGAUAGAUCUGGAAUUUGGACUCAGGCAGCCUGGUUCUGGAGCUGAAUUCUGAACUACCUAUAUCAUCCCACCUCAGUCCAGUGAGAGAACGUGUCACCUGAGUGCUCAAGAUACAUCAAGAGCCCGACCAUGUCCUGGAGCCUCUUAAGAGCGAAGCUCAGGGUGCAGGACCUGAGAGGGUGUUAAUCAGCCGCUUCCAUUUUUUUCUUAAUAUGGGAAGACCAGAUUUUGCUUGGCUUCUGGAAACCGCUGCCAUCUUGCUUUUCCUCCUACUUCAGCUCUUGGUCUCCUGUGCAGCUGGCUUUUCCUUCUUCCUGACUUUUCAAGCCCAUCCUUGGACCUCUUAUCUUCUCCAUCAAAAUUCUCUCCCUGGAUGAUUUCACUGAGGCCGAUGGCUUAAAUCCCUUAGAAAUACUGAUAGCUCCAAAUCCCUAUCUUUAGCCUGGCCUCCUGCCCUAGAAUUCACUUGUCUAAGUGCCUAGUGGAUUUCUCCACUUAGAUGUCUCAUAAGCAUUUCAAACCUGCCCAAAACGAAACUUGAUUACCAUCCCCAAACCACUCUUCCCUAAGAAAAUGGUGUCCCCGUUCCACCAGUUGCUCAGGCAAAAACCCUAGCAAUCAGCCUCACUUGCUUUCAUUCUCUCUCAUCUCCCACAUCAAACCCAUUAGCAAAUUCUGUUGGUUCUUUUUUGAAAUGUACUCGGAGGCUACUUCUCACCACAUGCUCUGCUAUGGUUCUAGCCCAAGCCACUGUCAGUCUCUCCCAGAGACACAAGCUGUACCUUCCUAACUCGCACCCCUGUGUGCAUCCCUGUGUGCAUCCCUGCUCACCCAAAGCCAACCCUUUGCAUAUAACCAGAGUGAUUUUUUUGAAAUGUAAAUAAGAACCGGUCACCACCCUAUUCAAAUCCUCCAGGGGCUUCUCAUUUCUCUUAGAACAAAACCCAGACUCCUGACUACAGCCCCAAAGCCCUACAUGAUCCUGCCCCAUUUACAGCUCCAGGCUCAUUACCUACCUCGUGCUCCCAGCCCACGGAUCAUCGCCUACCACAUGCUCCCAGCCCCCGGAUCUCCAGCACAUCAGCCUCUUGGCUCUUCUUAGAACUCCCUGAAUUCACUCCUGUCUCAAGGACUUUCCUGUGCUUUUCCUUAGACAGGAGACACCCCUCCCAGUUCACAUGGCUCACUCGCUUCAUCCAGGUCUCUUCUCCAGUGUCCCCUCCUUGUGACCCCUGGAUCUAAAGGAGUUGAACCACCCCACUCCUACCCUUAUAUUCUCAUAGCUCCUCACGCUGCCUCACUUUUAGCAAGAUUUCAUUAAAAUUUUAUUGCUGUCUAAAAUUCUAUUAUAUAUUUAACCAUUUACUUGUUUAGUAUCUGUGUCUUCCAUUAGCAAGUAAGUUCUGGCCAGGCGUGGUGGCUCACACCUGUAAUCCCAGCACUUUGGGAGGCUGAGGCAGGCAGAUCACCUGAGGUCAGGAGUUUGAGACCAGCCUGGUCAACGUGGUGAAACCCUGUCUCUACUAAAAAUACAAAAAUUUGCCGGGUGUGGUGGCAUGCACCUGUAAUCUCAGCUACUCGGGAGGCUGAGGCAGGAGAAUCGCUUGAACCUGGGAGGUGGAGGCUGCAGUGAGCCAAAAGAAAGAAAGAAAGUAAGUUCCAUGAAGGCAGAAAUUUUCUGCUUUAUUCAUUGCUGAAUACUCAACAUCUAGAAUUGUAGACCCUCCAUAGACACUUAUUGGCUGAAUGACUGAAAGAAUGAAUGAGUGGUUAGAAACAGUACCCAUGUGGAAGAAUAUAUAGCCACCUCUUACACACAGUUUCAUUAAUUCUCAGAAGUUUUCUAUGGCAAUUAGGGAGCAGAUUAUUUCGCCCGUUUAUUGAAACCCAGAACUAACGAUUGAUGUUUAAAGACUAAUCCGUCUGGAGUAAGUAGCUGCUGAAUGUUGGCCGUUCAAAUGAAGUAAGUUAAGUAUUAUGUGUCUCUAAUGUAUUUUAAACUUGUUUUAUGUCAAUUAUAUUAUCACAACUUUGGAAGAAACUUUAUUAGGACAAACUUUAAUAUUUUUUUCUAGAAAGUAUUUUUUUUAAACUAACACAAAUGCAAAGUCACUGUAAAGUUCAAGAAGUAAACGAUAUCUUCUUUUAGUUACAGCUGAAAGGAAAGCACAUCACUAAUAAUACCAAACUUGGUUUGGCAAUUUUUAGAAACCCCAUUUAGGCCAGGCGCAGUGG